rnacentral:piRNA from 1 species
AGCGGAUCGGAACAGUACUGUACAU